CGUGCACGCCUAUUGUGUUGGUCUCUAGGUGUGCCGUAAUGAUGAAUAGGGGCGGUUGGGGGCAUUUGUAUUCAAUUGCUAGAGGUGAAAUUCUUGGAUUUAUUGAAGACAAACUACUGCGAAAGCAUUUGCCAAGGACGCUUUCAUUGAUCAAGAACGAAGGUCGGGGGAUCGAAAACGAUUAGAUACCGUUGUAGUCUCGACAGUAAACGAUGUUGACUGGGGAUCAGUCGGGGUUUUAUUUUAUGACCCGAUUGGCACCCAAAGAGAAAUCUUGAGUGAAAUUCGCGGGGGAGUACGGUCACAAGGCUGAAACUUAAAGGAAUUGACGGAAGGGCACCACCAGGAGUGGAGCCUGCGGCUUAAUUUGACUCAACACGGGGAAACUCA
rnacentral:rRNA from 1 species